ACUGUGAUUCCCUUAGUAACGGCGAGUGAAGCGGGAAAAGCCCAUCGUUGAAUCUCCCUGGACCUAGUUCGGGGCGAGUUGUAACGGUAUGGAUUGGCAUUCUAGCGCCAACUGCUAACCAAAGUCCUUCGGAUUGAGGCGCCAGAGAGGGUGACAGCCCCGUAGAUGGCUAGCAGGAAGCGUGCAUGUUGUCAACUCCUAGAGUCGGGUUGUUUGGGAUUGCAACCUAAAGCAGGUGGUAAACUCCAUCUAAGGCUAAAUAUAGACACGAAACCGAUAGCGAACAAGUACCGUGAGGGAAAGUUGAAAAGAACCCUGAAAAGAGAGUUAAAAGUACGUGAAACCGCUAACGGGGAAGCGGAAGGCAGUGUCGAGACCGCGUCUAGUGGAUGUUUGUCGCGUUUCCUUGGAAAUUGUAGCAAAUGUCAGCUGGGCAUGGUGCGUCAGGCCUGCUGGUGAACAAGUGGAAGCAAGACAUGGCCCUCGCAACCUYCUAGGAGGAUGCGGGUGCGGUCUAGUGAAAGCUUGUAUGCUGGCUUGUGAGUGAAAAGCGUUGUUAGCUCAAAUUUUGGGCUGGUUGAUGCAGUCAGGCGCUGCGCCUUGUCUAAAGUUUGGACAAGACGUAGUUGUUUGGCUGGUYGACAAGCAGUGCUAGAUCCUGACGAGAUACCUAACUUUC
rnacentral:rRNA from 1 species